rnacentral:rRNA from 1 species
GAAUUCGCCCUUGAGUUUGAUCCUGGCUCAGGACGAACGCUGGCGGCGCGCCUAACACAUGCAAGUCGAACGAGCGAGAGAGAGCUUGCUUUCUCGAGCGAGUGGCGAACGGGUGAGUAACGCGUGAGGAACCUGCCUCAAAGAGGGGGACAACAGUUGGAAACGACUGCUAAUACCGCAUAAGCCCACGGGUCGGCAUCGACCAGAGGGAAAAGGAGCAAUCCGCUUUGAGAUGGCCUCGCGUCCGAUUAGCUGGUUGGUGAGGUAACGGCCCACCAAGGCAACGAUCGGUAGCCGGACUGAGAGGUUGAACGGCCACAUCGGGACUGAGACACGGCCCAGACUCCUACGGGAGGCAGCAGUGGGGAAUAUUGCACAAUGGGGGAAACCCUGAUGCAGCGACGCCACGUGGAGGAAGAAGGUCUUCGGAUUGUAAACUCCUGUUGUUGAGGAAGAUAAUGACGGUACUCAACAAGGAAGUGACGGCUAACUACGUGCCAGCAGCCGCGGUAAAACGUAGGUCACAAGCGUUGUCCGGAAUUACUGGGUGUAAAGGGAGCGCAGGCGGGAAGACAAGUUGGAAGUGAAAUCCAUGGGCUCAACCCAUGAACUGCCUUCAAAACUGUUUUUCUUGAGUAGUGCAGAGGUAGGCGGAAUUCCCGGUGUAGCGGUGGAAUGCGUAGAUAUCGGGAGGAACACCAGUGGCGAAGGCGGCCUACUGGGCACCAACUGACGCUGAGGCUCGAAAGUGUGGGUAGCAAACAGGAUUAGAUACCCUGGUAGUCCACACCGUAAACGAUGAUUACUAGGUGUUGGAGGAUUGACCCCUUCAGUGCCGCAGUUAACACAAUAAGUAAUCCACCUGGGGAGUACGACCGCAAGGUUGAAACUCAAAGGAAUUGACGGGGGCCCGCACAAGCAGUGGAGUAUGUGGUUUAAUUCGACGCAACGCGAAGAACCUUACCAAGUCUUGACAUCCCUUGACGAUGCUGGAAACAGUAUUUCUCUUCGGAGCAAGGAGACAGGUGGUGCAUGGUUGUCGUCAGCUCGUGUCGUGAGAUGUUGGGUUAAGUCCCGCAACGAGCGCAACCCUUAUGGUCAGUUACUACGCAAGAGGACUCUGGCCAGACUGCCGUUGACAAAACGGAGGAAGGUGGGGAUGACGUCAAAUCAUCAUGCCCUUUAUGACUUGGGCUACACACGUACUACAAUGGCGUUAAACAAAGAGAAGCAAGACCGCGAGGUGGAGCAAAACUCAGAAACAACGUCCCAGUUCGGACUGCAGGCUGCAACUCGCCUGCACGAAGUCGGAAUUGCUAGUAAUCGUGGAUCAGCAUGCCACGGUGAAUACGUUCCCGGGCCUUGCACUCACCGCCCGUCA